rnacentral:rRNA from 1 species
AGUCGAACGAUGAACCCACUUCGGUGGGGGAUUAGUGGCGAUCGGGUGAGUAACACGUGGGCAAUCUGCCCUGCACUCUGGGACAAGCCCUGGAACGGGGUCUAAUACCGGAUACGACCACUUCAGGCAUUUGAUGGUGGUGGAAAGCUCCGGCGGUGCAGGAUGAGCCCGCGGCCUAUCAGCUAGUUGGUGAGGUAACGGCUCACCAAGGCGACGACGGUUAGCCGGCCUGAGAGGGCGACCGGCCACACUGGGACUGAGACACGUCCAGACUCCUACGGGAGGCAGCAGUGGGGAAUAUUGCACAAUGGGCGAAAGCCUGAUGCAGCGACGCCGCGUGAGGGAUGACGGCCUUCGGGUUGUAAACC